AUUGAACGCUGGCGGCAGGCCUAACACAUGCAAGUCGAGCGAGCGGCGGACGGGUGAGUAAUGUAUGGGGAACUGCCUGAUGGAGGGGGAUAACUACUGGAAACGGUGGCUAAUACCGCAUACCAUCAGAUGUACCCAGAUGGGAUUAGCUAGUUGGUGGGGUAAAGGCUCACCAAGGCGACGAUCCCUAGCUGGUCUGAGAGGAUGAUCAGCCACACUGGGACUGAGACACGGCCCAGACUCCUACGGGAGGCAGCAGUGGGGAAUAUUGCACAAUGGGCGCAAGCCUGAUGCAGCCAUGCCGCGUGUAUGAAGAAGGCCUUAGGGUUGUAAAGUACUUUCAGCGGGGAGGCGUUACCCGCAGAAGAAGCACCGGCUAACUACGUGCCAGCAGCCGCGGUAAUAC
rnacentral:rRNA from 1 species